UACGGAGGGUGCAAGCGUUAUCCGGAUUCACUGGGCUUAAAGGGUGCGUAGGCGGGUAAGUAAGUCCGUGGUGAAAUCUCUGAGCUUAACUCAGAAACUGCCGUGGAUACUAUUUGCCUUGAAUAUUGUGGAGGUGAGCGGAAUAUGUCAUGUAGCGGUGAAAUGCUUAGAUAUGACAUAGAACACCAAUUGCGAAGGCAGCUCACUACACAAUCAUUGACGCUGAGGCACGAAAGCGUGGGGAUCAAACAGG
rnacentral:rRNA from 1 species